rnacentral:rRNA from 1 species
CCUACGGGAGGCAGCAGUGGGGGAUAUUGCACAAUGGGGGAAACCCUGAUGCAGCGACGCCGCGUGAGUGAAGAAGUAUUUCGGUAUGUAAAGCUCUAUCAGCAGGGAAGAAAAUGACAGUACCUGACCAAGAAGCUCCGGCUAACUACGUGCCAGCAGCCGCGGUAAUACGGAGGGUGCCAGCGUUAUCCGGAUUUACUGGGCGUAAAGGGAGCGUAGACGGGUAUGUAAGUCUGGAGUGAAAGCUCGGGGCCCAACCCCGGGAGUGCUAUGGAUACUGUGAAACUGGAGUACAGGAGGGGCAGGCGGAAUGCCUGGUGUAGCGGUGAAAUGCGUAGAUAUCAGGAGGAACACCGGCGGCGAAGGCGGCCUGCUGGACUGCAACUGACGUUGAGGCUCGAAAGCGUGGGGAGCAAACAGGAUUAGAUACCAUUGUAGUC